rnacentral:rRNA from 1 species
AUGAAGCCGCAUAUGACGAACCGAGAGCUCCAAGGCGGCGCCUCCAAGAAGGUUACGACGCUAGCGCGCCGCCACCGCCUGACCCGGGGGUCAGAGUUUCCUCUGGAGCAACAAGAUGACCGACGAGUGGAAAGGUCGCUCCUUUACACACCCCUGGACGGCCCCCGGCGCCGAGACCCAAAGGACCGGCCCAAAAAAAGGCCUCCAUCACCCGUCCUGCUGCACCGGGUGCUAGACAAGCUCAGUCCUGCUGCCAGGCGCGAGACGAGGUCGGUCCUGCUGCCUGACGCGAGACAAGCACGGUCCUGCUGCCGGGCGCGAGACGAGCUCGGUCCUGCUGCCGGGCGCGAGACGAGCUCUGUCUCGCAGCCAUGGGCGCGAGACGAGCAAUGGACCGCAACUGGGAGCGAUGAAUCAUCCCAGUUGAACGGUGAGCUGAGUGCCAGAGAGAGGAGGGCUGUGGUGAGGCAGGAGCGGCAACAACAGUGCGGCCAUCCUCCUGACGAGUGGCUGAACGGAACUCGGGAGCAUUUCCUUUGUUUUGCUGUGCUGCAUGGAUGCUCCGGUGUAACUGUUAAUGCCUCCUUUGCUUUGGGUCAUUGUUGUCACUUGGAUGCGGAUAUUAGAGGACAACUGAUAUGCUACUCCACGCUCGCAUGUGAGAUCCACAAAGUUAUAAAUAUGUUUGAUGUGCCCAGUCAUGGUAGAACCUUGAAUCCACAUACUGGUUCUUAUGCAACAGGGCAUCCCAUGAGGUACGAUCCAAAUACUGGUGAUGUAGCGGUGCUCCAAACACAUCUGGCGUACGCAAACGGCAUCGCUAUCAGCACCCCUAAUGCAUCUCAUUGCCACAUCUACGGGGCCGUGCAAGCGGUAGUGCAAGUCCGCAAGCUGCUAAGGCACUGGAUCAAAGGGUACAAGGCGGAGACGUUCGAGCCGUUUGUGGAUCUCCCUGGCUAG